ACUCAAAUGAAUUGACGGGGGCUCACACAAGCGGUGGAGCAUGUGGCUUAAUUCGAAGCAACGCGAAGAACCUUACCUGGGUUUGACAUGCACGGAUGGCCUACGGGGAUAACUCAUAGGUUUGCCCUUCGGGGUGAAACGUGCACAGGUGUUGCACGGCUGUCGUCAGCUCGUGCUGUGAAGUGUCGGGUUAAGUCCCUUAACGAGCGAAACCCUUGCCGUUAGUUGCCAGCGGGUCAUGCCGGGGACUCUAGCGGGACUGCCGGCGUUAAGCCGGAGGAAGGCGGGGACGACGUCAAGUCAUCGUGGCCCUUAUGCCCAGGGACGCACACGUGCUACAAUGGCCGCCACAAAGGGCUGCAAGACCGUAAGGUGGAGCAAAUCCCAAAAAAGCGGCCUCAGUUCGGAUUGGAGGCUGCAAUUCGCCUCCAUGAAGUUGGAAUCGCUAGUAAUCGCGCAUCAGCUACGGCGCGGUGAAUGUGUUCCUGAGCCUUGCACACACCGCCCGU
rnacentral:rRNA from 1 species